rnacentral:rRNA from 1 species
CUACGGGUGGCUCCAGUGGGGAAUAUUGGACAAUGGGGGAAACCCUGAUCCAGCAAUGCCGCGUGUGUGAAGAAGGCCUGCGGGUUGUAAAGCACUUUCGGUUGGGAGGACUGCUUCUAGCACUAAUAUUGUUGGAAGUUGACGUUACCUUCAGAAGAAGCACCGGCUAACUCCGUGCCAGCAGCCGCGGUAAUACGGAGGGUGCAAGCGUAAUCGGAAUUACUGGGCGUAAAGCGCGCGGAGGCGGCUAGAUCAGUCGGGUGUGAAAGCCCCGGGCUUAACCUGGGAACUGCAUCCGAUACUGUCUAGCUUGAGUACAGGAGAGGAGAGUGGAAUUCCACAUGUAGCGGUGAAAUGCGUAGAUAUGUGGAGGAACACCAAUGGCGAAGGCAGCUCUCUGGCCUGAUACUGACGCUGAGGUGCGAAAGCGUGGGGAGCAAACAGGAUUAGAUACCCGAGUAGUC